AUGCGGCGAGACGCGGCCGUCGCCCCCGCGGCGGUCGUGACCUCGCCGCAGAUCGCGGCCGGCGGGACAGAAAUGGGGAAUGCCGAGGCGGUGGCCAUCGAAGUCGACUCGGCGCCAGCGCCAGCGUCGGCGGCCAUCGACAUCGACCUCGAAGCGGGGGGCGCGUCCCACGGCGUGGCGUGCCGGAUCUGCCACCUCAGCCCCGAGGGCGGCGACGGGCCUGGGUCGGAGGUGAUCCGGCUCGCCUGCUGCUGCAAGGAGGAGCUCGGCCACGCGCACCGACAAUGCGCCGAGGCGUGGUUCCGGAUCAAGGGCGAUAGGCGCUGUGAAAUUUGUGGUUCAGAGGCCAAAAACAUUACUGGCCUGGAAGUGAAAAAAUUCAUGGAGGAAUGGCAUGGGCGAAGAAUGGCAACUACCGGGGCUAUGGUAGAGAGGGAAAGCACUUGCUAG
rnacentral:rRNA from 1 species